rnacentral:tRNA from 1 species
GGAAGAGUCGCCUAGUUGGUCUAUGGCGCACGCUUGGAAAGCGUGUAUACCGCAAGGUAUCGCGAGUUCGAAUCUCGCCUCUUCCGCCA